rnacentral:rRNA from 1 species
UACGUAGGGUGCGAGCGUUAAUCGGAAUUACUGGGCGUAAAGCGUGCGCAGGCGGUGCACCAAGCUCGAUGUGAAAGCCCCGGGCUUAACCUGGGAACUGCACUUGUGACUGCACGGCUGGAGUACGGCAGAGGGGGAUGGAAUUCCGCGUGUAGCAGUGAAAUGCGUAGAUAUGUGGAGGAACACCAAUGGCGAAGGCAGCCCCCUGGGUCAACACUGACGCUCAUGCACGAAAGCGUGGGGAGCAAACAGG